rnacentral:rRNA from 1 species
AUUGAACGCUGGCGGCAGGCCUAACACAUGCAAGUCGACCGAGUGGCGGACGGGUGAGUAAUGUAUGGGACACUGCCUGAUGGAGGGGGAUCACUACUGGAAACGGUAGCUAAUCCCGCAUACCAUCGGAUGUGCCCCGGUGGGAUUAGCUAGUAGGUGGGGUAAAGGCUCACCUAGGCGACGAUCCCUCGCUGGUCUGAGAGGAUGACCAGCCACACUGGAACUGAGACACGGUCCAGACUCCUACGGUAGGCAGCAGGGGGGAAGAUUUGACAAUGGGCGCAAGCCUGAUGCAGCCAUGCCGCGUGUAUGAAGAAGGCCUGAGGGUUGUAAAGUACUUUCAGCGGGGAGGCGUUACCCGCAGAAGAAGCACCGGCUAACUCCGUGCCAGCAGCCGCGGUAAUAC